GCGCAGCACUACGGGCGCUUGUAUCUGAUCGUUUCCCUCGCCCGUCAUCCACCUGGCUGUCUAUUCAAGCAGCCAGAGAUGAAGGGGUCGCGAAAUGCUGAUGACACAAUGCUGAGAUUGUACCGUCAAAACUCGAUCAAGUUAAUGCUUGCGUGGGAAACGUGCUGCCAGCUUCUU
rnacentral:ncRNA from 1 species